UGGUCAUGUAAUGGGGUGA
rnacentral:piRNA from 1 species